rnacentral:misc_RNA from 1 species
GAUGAAGAACGUAGCGAAAUGCGAUAAGUAAUGUGAAUUGCAGAAUUCAGUGAAUCAUCGAAUCUUUGAACGCACAUUGCGCCCGGCAGUACUCUGCCGGGCAUGCCUGUUCGAGCGUCAUUUCAACCCUCAAGCCCUGCUUGGUGUUGGGGCCCCACGGCUGCCGUGGGCCCUGAAAGGAAGUGGCGGGCUCGCUACAACUCCGAGCGUAGUAAUUCAUUAUCUCGCUUAGGGCGUUGGGCGGCGCUCCAGCCGUUAAAGAACCAUCUUUAACUCAAGGUUGACCUCGGAUCAGGUAGGAAUACCCGCUGAACUUAAGCAUAUCAAUAAGCGGAGGA